rnacentral:rRNA from 1 species
UACGUAGGUGGCAAGCGUUGUCCGGAUUUAUUGGGCUUAAAGGGCGCGUAGGCGGGCUAUCAAGUCCGGGGUGAAAUCCUCCAGCUUAACUGGAGAACUGCCUCGGAUACUGAUGGUCUCGAGGAGGAUAGGGGCACACGGAACUGUGGGUGGAGCGGUGAAAUGCGUUGAUAUCCAUAGGAACUCCGGUGGCGAAAGCGGUGUGCUGGAUCCUUUCUGACGCUGAGGCGCGAAAGCCAGGGGAGCAAACGGG